rnacentral:rRNA from 1 species
UGCGUAGGCGGACUUGUAAGUGGGUGGUGAAAGCGCCCGGCUAAACCGGGCGAGGACCAUUCAGACUGCUGGUCUAGAGGCGGAUAGAGGAGCGUGGAAUUCCGGGUGUAGCGGUGAAAUGUGUAGAGAUCCGGAGGAACACCAGUGGCGCAAGCGGCGCUCUGGGUCCGAACUGACGCUGAUGCACGAAAGCGUGGGGAGCGAACG